GACGAACGCUGGCGGCGUGCCUAAUACAUGCAAGUCGAACGCUUCUUUUUCCACCGGAGCUUGCUCCACCGGAAAAAGAGGAGUGGCGAACGGGUGAGUAACACGUGGGUAACCUGCCCAUCAGAAGGGGAUAACACUUGGAAACAGGUGCUAAUACCGUAUAACAAUCGAAACCGCAUGGUUUUGAUUUGAAAGGCGCUUUCGGGGUUCGCUGAUGGAUGGACCCGCGGUGCAUUAGCUAGUUGGUGAGGUAACGGCUCACCAAGGCCACGAUGCAUAGCCGACCUGAGAGGGUGAUCGGCCACAUUGGGACUGAGACACGGCCCAAACUCCUACGGGAGGCAGCAGUAGGGAAUCUUCGGCAAUGGACGAAAGUCUGACCGAGCAACGCCGCGUGAGUGAAGAAGGUUUUCGGAUCGUAAAACUCUGUUGUUAGAGAAGAACAAGGAUGAGAGUAACUGUUCAUCCCUUGACGGUAUCUAACCAGAAAGCCACGGCUAACUACGUGCCAGCCGCCGCAGUAA
rnacentral:rRNA from 1 species